GAGGGAGAGAGAGAGAGAGACGAGGGGCGGUAAUGAGGGCUGUGCAAGCAUUAAAGUUAGUUUUUGCUUGUUGGCCAUAACUUGUGUUUCAAUUUGUGGCCAGAAGAAAAGAGCUUUAAAAACCAUAGCAUACUUUUAUGCUAAUCGAGUCGUAAAACGAUAAAGCAGCCAAGUGCCUGCCCGCCUGUGUGUGUGGGCGAGCGUGUGCAGCCCACACACACACCAACUGUUAGCUGUGUGUGGGUUUUGCCUUUUAAAGGUCAGCAUGCGUAAUUAGUGAAAUUUGGCAUCGACGCUUAACAAAUGAAGGAAAGAACAUAUAAACGAAUGAGCUCAAGUGCAUGCUCACCAGGCACACACACACCAAUAGGGAACGUAUGUGUGUGUGUCUGUGUGUGUUUUUGUGUCUACUCAAAAUGAGGAACGUGCAGACAUGCACAACGCUCAACACAAUGCAAGUCGUCCGUGACGUACGACCAUCCGCUCAUUAGCAAAAAGCCAAACCCCCUUCUCAAUUGUUCUAAAUGCGACAGACACAACUGAAUGGAUGAAUGUGUGUGCGUGUCAGUUUUUGUGUGUGUGUGUGUGUGUGUG